rnacentral:rRNA from 1 species
UACGUAGGGGGCAAGCGUUGUCCGGAAUCAUUGGGCGUAAAGAGCGUGUAGGCGGCUUGGUAAGUCCGCUGUGAAAGUCCAGGGCUCAACCCUGGAAUGCCGGUGGAAACUGUCAAGCUUGAGUCCGGAAGAGGCGAGUGGAAUUCCUGGUGUAGCGGUGAAAUGCGCAGAUAUCAGGAGGAACACCAAUGGCGAAGGCAGCUCGCUGGGACGGUACUGACGCUGAGACGCGAAAGCG